rnacentral:rRNA from 1 species
GAUGAACGCUGGCGGCGUGCCUAAUACAUGCAAGUCGAGCGAACGGACGAGAAGCUUGCUUCUCUGAUGUUAGCGGCGGACGGGUGAGUAACACGUGGAUAACCUACCUAUAAGACUGGGAUAACUUCGGGAAACCGUAGCUAAUACCGGAUAAUAUUUUGAACCGCAUGGUUCAAAAGUGAAAGACGGUCUUGCUGUCACUUAUAGAUGGAUCCGCGCUGCAUUAGCUAGUUGGUAAGGUAACGGCUUACCAAGGCAACGAUGCAUAGCCGACCUGAGAGGGGGAUCGGCACAACUGGAACUGAGAAACGGUCCAGACUCCUACGGGAGGCAGAGGUAGGGAAUCUUCCGAAAUGGGCGAAAGCCUGACGGAGCAACGCCGCGUGAGUGAUGAAGGUCUUCGGAUCGUAAAACUCUGUUAUUAGGGAAGAACAUAUGUGUAAGUAACUGUGCACAUCUUGACGGUACCUAAUAAGAAAGCCACGGCUAACUACGU